CUGCAAUACUUCAUUCAAUCUCUGUCUUUCUUGAAGAAGUCGUAAAUAAACAUGAUGAAUCUGUGUAGAAGCAGAAUCUCAGCAGUGACAGGCGUUUGUGAAAAGCUGUGAAUAUUCAGUGCCUCAGGGUUAAAGCCAGACCCUACUGGGCAGAGAAAGGGUGACCUGGAAGGUGUGUGAGGGCCCCGCCCACGGGCCCCUGUGAUGGUCGUGGCCUCAAGAAUCACGCUGCAGGUGAGGCCCUGAACCUGCACAGCCAGGACCAGUGUUCUCUGCACAUGGGCACCGAGGCCAGCGGCAGCCAGGAGAGGGCUGCAGAAUCAGCCUGUGCAGCUCUGUGAUGACAAGCAGAGAUGCUGGUUUAGAGACUUGCUACUCACAGGGCAGUCCAGGGGCCUCCCGCAUCCACAUUACCUGGGACUUGUUAGAAAUUCAGAGUCUCAGGCCCCAACCCAGACGGACUGAAUCCAAAGCUUCAUUGUGGUAAGACCCUCGGGGCACACAGGUCUGGGAAGCACAGGUUAGUGUCCUGUGUCGCCUUGGGCAAAGCUCUCAGCAUCACGAGCCUCUGUUUUCUACUCUGAAGAGGAGGCAUCAAUAUCUACAUCGUAAGUUUGCCAUGAAUAUUGAAAAAUAAUGUCUUAGAAGCACAGGGCAGAGCCUGGCAUGUAGAUUGUGCUCAGUGCACAGCAGACAAGAAACCACACGCACCAGGCCCAGGCAGCCGUCGGCAGCCCACGCUGAGCGACCAUGGGUCUCUUGGGACCUUGCUUCUUUCAUUUCUAAAAUGAAAGUUUUGGACUGUAUUUCUUUUCACUUAAAAAUUUCAUCUGUGUGUAUGAUGGCCUCUGUCGUCCCUUUCCUGAAACUCCUGCUAACACUGGGAGCUGAAGAGAGCCUCCGUGAAGGCGAGCAGGGGCGCCUGUCCUCCCAGGAGGAACUUCCCUCCUCUCACGAGCCCUAGUGCUCCACCAGCUCCAGCUUCAGGGCCCGGACAGUGGGGGAGGGAGAGGAAGCGCACGCACCCAGCAGUUCCGCCCACCGAAGGUGUUCGGUCCUGAUCUGCAAAAUCAGUUCCACGUCUCCUUGUCUGGCAGCAGAUCAAAGGGCCAGGGGUCUGGGACGGAGAGAAAUGGCCAGAGAAUGGAUGGUGACGUGCUCAGAGGCCCUGGUGGGCUACACCACACUCGGUGGAAGAGAGCAACACCAUCAAAUCUCCACACUUCGUUAUCCAUGACUUAAAGGAAAGUGAACAGGGAGGUGGACAACUGUGCAAAGAUUGGCUGGAGUCAAGUCCCGGGCACUGGCGAAGCAUCGAGAACGCGUGUCACACAUUUGAAUGUGCAGGUGGACUCUGACUGGAAGCUCCUAGCAGAGGCUGAAGACGCUGGUUAGGUCCUGCAGCGUGCUUUGGGAUGCAUCCCAGGCGACGGGCCCAGCAGCUCGAGUUCACGUCCACCCGGCUCACUGGGGAGUCCUGCACCCUCCUUCAAACCUAACUGGAAGAGACACUGAUCCUUCCUCCCACCUAAGGGCUCCCAGAGCCACAGGUCUCCGCCUCUCCUGCUGCCUGCUCCGACCGCCCGUGACUCACUCAGUCACCCUCCUCGGCAGCACCCAACAGCCUCUGUGUGUCUUUCUCACUCACCAUUACCAGCCCCUGGGUGCCCAGUGCGUGUAUGUUGGACAGAACAAGUGCACGGCGGCCUUCAGCAGCGCCGGCCGCGUCGACCCCUCUCCGUGCUCACACCGGGAGUGAUCCGUGCACUCGCCCUCCCACAGAAUGGGAGAAGGUGAUAACACAGCUGAGCGGGGUGUCCAGAAGCCAGCCCCACCCACAGCCACUACUGAGAGGUUGUGAGAUCGUGGCCUUGUUCCUAGAAAUGCUGUGCAGCGAACUGGGACUGUUUUCCUCUAAAUUCGAAGCUGGGGGCAGUCUAGGCACCUGGACGCAGGGUCUGCUCUCUGUCCCGGCCCGGCGGCUGCUCACCGUGGGGAUGCUGUGCAAUUAGACAGUUACUUUCUUUCCCUGGUUGACGGAUUAGAGUUUCCUUUUUCUGAGCAUCUUUUUUUUUUGAAGUGAUCCGAAGUGUUCAGGAUUAAAGAGCGUAAUUUUCCCAAACUAUCCAGAAAAUAGAAGCAGGUCUGCAAGAGGGGGGUGCCCAGGGCCUUGAGAUGAAAACGAGAUAGGAUGAGACCUGGGGAGCUCUCCAGGCCUCCGGGAGCUCAGUAAAAUCAUCCUCUGGACCUCUUUGCUGACUGUGCUGUCACCACAGCAGCCGCCUUCUCUCAUCUGUAAAGAGGAUUUUAUGUAACUUUCCGUACACUUGGUUGUUGACAAUUAAGUAGAUUGUUUUUAAAGAUACUUGAAAUGACAUCAGAAUUUCCUAAACAUAUCAUUAAAAC